CUCAGCAUUUUGGCUGAUGUGUCACGUUCCAUUCUUCUCAAGCAUUCAGAACUAGAACUAAAAAUCCUGAAUCACGAAACCUUCUCCAGCAAUAGCAUCAAUCUAUCUCUCCUCUAAGCUCUGAGUGCACCAAUGUCGGCUCCUCUCCACGCCACGCUUUCUCGACCGCCGUCAUAUCCACGUCUGCAAUGUCAUCGUCCUAUAGAACCUGCAUCGCUUCGCCGAGAUAUAUUCAGUUUCAUAAUCCUCAUAAGUCAUAAUAUAUAUUCAUUGGAACAAUACCAGGCCAUAAUUACAUAUGGAGAACUGAAGGUUUCCAUGGGAUGUUCAAAGGGAACAACACUAAUUGUACUCAAAUUGUCUAUAAUUCUGCUGUUGAAGUUCUUCACUUGCGAUUUACGAACACACUUACAAGUAAGAUUUACUUUAGAUACAAAAAGAUGCCUAAUUGCUUUUCUGUUUAGCAUUCUUUUUAUUGACUUUUAAUUCAGGUGUUAUAUUUUACCAAUCAACUCAGGGCUAUAGAAAGUUGGCUUCAAUCCUCUUUGAUCGUUUUUCUUUUACUGCACAAUUUUAUUUAGUCACCCCUGUGGCUAAUAUAUUUCUAUCAGUUCGUAUUUUUUUUUUAAUUUCUCUGCUGUUUUCUUUGACCUUUACUUUUGAUUUGGACAGAGUAUCUGUAUCAGCUACAAACUGGAAAUGGUAUGUUCACGUUAACCAUUUUUUCUUAUGGAUUUGUGUUCGCCUAGAUAAUUUAUGAAACUUAGGUUCCUUCUUCAUCUUUGUCAUCUCACCUCUUUGCUAUGAUAUAAUUUUUCCACCUCAGUUAUUUUGGUGAUGUGCCUCUUAUUUACUUAUGAAUCAUAUCCCUCUUUCACACUGAGUUUAUCAUGAAAGUUUAUAGGUCCCCAGCUAGAGGGUGGUGCUUCUUGGAUGUUAUUCGUAUUAUAGUACUUGACACAUUAUUAUACCUAUUAUCUCUUUGAGCACUUUGUGUAAAGUGAACUUGUAUGUAUCAUUUAAGGCAUAUAUCUACAUAACCUCUUUUCAUCAGUGUUUUUCCCUGGUGCAGGAAGAUGAAUGAUAUAGUAGCUUCUGGUUCUGAAAUGUGUGUGGUGUGCCAGAACUCCCAGGGAAGAGAGAGGAGAAGUAUGAUAUCAUUGUUGGAGUUUGCAUAGUAGCUAACCAUAUCUGAUUGCAUACACGACUCAUUUACUACCAUUUGGUGACAGGCACAUGGGGAUGGGUUAUGGUAUUGAAGUUGGACAAAUAAAACAGUUUCUUUUUUCUCUUGUGAUUACAUAUUUGAUUUUUUUUUUACUUAUGAAUUUACAUGACCUUUGAUUUUAAGUUGUUACUUUUGCUAAACAGCCUAAAUUGUACUAUGUAACCAAUGCAGUUGCAUUCUGCUAUUUUAAUUAGGGGAGUAUUGAAAAGGAGCAAAGCUACUAUGAAAAUCUACACCAUAACAUGUUUUUUGUUCCUCUA